AGUGACAGCUUCAUCAUUUCUCCUGUAUGGAGAAACUAGUCUCCUGCAUUGCUCGGGUGUGAUUUUAGUCCAUUCUUCCACACAAACAGUCUUCAAAUCGUGAA